CUUCUUCCGGACCUCGCUCAGCCGAGGCUCCCAUCUGGAACCUGGACCUGCUUAAGGAUUUUAAUAAGGAGACCAAAGCCCUGAACCCGCAUUCAAACCCCUCCCAGACCGAGAUCAUCAUUUCUACAAUGUGUCGACGUCUCCGUGAAUCUUCCCCAGGGACCAUGCUCUCUCCACCUCUCUUACCUCUGUAUUUCAAUAAACAAUAUUUCACUGAUUUUCUGUUCUCCUGUGGUGUUCUGCAUGUGGACAAAGAAAAUGGAUCCAAACAUCACAAAAAGACACCAGCAGAAUCUGAAAGCUUAAUAUUUAAUUGCCUUUAAAAGCUGCAAAAACUAAAAAAAAUAAUACAGGUCCAACUUUUCAACAUAAUAUCAUCCAUACAAAACUUUCCAAUGACAUCAUCAACAUGGACAGUAACCAGUACAGUAAAUGUAGCAGAUAGGAGCUUUUGUUUUGUUAAGUAACAAAAAGAGGCCUUUUGCUGUUCUGAUGGUUGUAAGUUGACUGAACACAAAUUAGUUAAUGAUAAUUGAUCACAUCAUCAAAUGUUGAGGCCUGAAAUUAUGAGUCACUUAGACUGUGUGGACAGGAAUGUGUUCAUAUUCACUAAGAUGAACUGCUGCUCUCCACUCAGAGAUGAGUCUCAUGGUGAGAAUGAUUUAGUUUGUUUACUGUCUUUGUCAUGAAGUGUGGUAGAGAGGUGGUGAGACAGACACAGAGGACCCACGUUGGAGUGAAUUAAAGAUGAUUUAAUGGUGAAAAUGCAAUUCCAAAGUCCAGAAAUCCAGGCAGUACAGAUGAGACACAACAAAACUCAGAGCUGGUAGCAACUGGGAUAACUAAACCAAAACGACAAACUUGACGGCAGACAAGACGAGAACCCAACAAGGAACCAGGAACACAGGUGGGAUUAAAUACACACAAUAAGGAGAAACAAGAGACAAAUGGAGACUCAAUUAACUGAAAACCACACAAAAACCUAAACUAACACAAAGAAAACCCCAAGUCCUCAGUAUCAUUACAAAAGAAGAAGAAUUGAAUAACAUGAUUUGUCAAUAAG